UAGAGGAAUAAACUGCAAUAUGAGCAAUCAAAACUACCAGGUUCAAUAUAUUCAUUUAUCUGCUUUGCCCUAGCUACCGCUAUUCUUGGGAAACCAAAAGAGCUACCAAAGGAUGGUAUCAACUCUUUCAAUCAUUUUCUGCUGCAUCCGGUGAAGUAAAUGUUGCAUCUAAUUUAAAGAAAUGUUGCAUCUUGUUGAAGACCUAAAAAAUGCAGUGGCUUGAUGAUUCUGUGUUGUUGUUGUUGUUUCCUUGCUUUUGGUCAUGUUGCUUUUUUUUUUUUUGGUAAAUUGGGUUGCUUCUUUUAUCAUACUGUAUUUUCUGCUGUUGCUUUUGUACGUGUCAUAUAUAAAAACUCAGUGGUAAAUUGACUGGUUUAUGCUGAUGCUACUGUCGUUGCUUCUUUGGCUUUCUAGACUUUUUGUGCAGUUAUUGCUUUCUUCUCAUGGUUUGUAUGUUGUAUCUGUUGUACAUAUGUUCAUGUCAGAUGUAAACAAGGCCUAGAUUGGCUAAAUGGUAUUGUUCUCAUCUUUUGCUUGCUUUAGACAAUUCCCA